rnacentral:SRP_RNA from 1 species
CACGGAAGGCGGCGCGGGCGAGAUAUUGCCCAACCCGGUCAGGGGCGAAAGCCAGCAGCCGUAAGUAAUUUUUUCGGGUCGUGUCCGUCUUCCACAUUU